UACGAAGGGGGCUAGCGUUGUUCGGAAUCACUGGGCGUAAAGCGCACGUAGGCGGAUCUUUAAGUCAGGGGUGAAAUCCCGAGGCUCAACCUCGGAACUGCCUUUGAUACUGGGGAUCUCGAGUCCGGGAGAGGUGAGUGGAACUGCGAGUGUAGAGGUGAAAUUCGUAGAUAUCGGUAGGAACACCAGUGGCGAAGGCGGUCUCCUGGGGCAUUCUUGACGCUGAGGCGCGAAAGCUGGGGGAGCGAACGGG
rnacentral:rRNA from 1 species